GAUCAUGUAGCUUAAACCACAAAGCAUAACACUGAAAAUGUUAAGAUAGUGCCACUCUAUCUCA
rnacentral:tRNA from 1 species